rnacentral:rRNA from 1 species
UGUAGGCUGAUUUUCCAGGCAAAUCCGGAAAAUCAAGGCUGAGGCGUGAUGACGAGGCACUACGGUGCUGAAGCAACAAAUGCCCUGCUUCCAGGAAAAGCCUCUAAGCAUCAGGUAACAUCAAAUCGUACCCCAAACCGACACAGGUGGUCAGGUAGAGAAUACCAAGGCGCUUGAGAGAACUCGGGUGAAGGAACUAGGCAAAAUGGUGCCGUAACUUCGGGAGAAGGCACGCUGAUAUGUAGGUGAAGUCCCUCGCGGAUGGAGCUGAAAUCAGUCGAAGAUACCAGCUGGCUGCAACUGUUUAUUAAAAACACAGCACUGUGCAAACACGAAAGUGGACGUAUACGGUGUGACGCCUGCCCGGUGCCGGAAGGUUAAUUGAUGGGGUCAGCGCAAGCGAAGCUCUUGAUCGAAGCCCCGGUAAACGGCGGCCGUAACUAUAACGGUCCUAAGGUAGCGAAAUUCCUUGUCGGGUAAGUUCCGACCUGCACGAAUGGCGUAAUGAUGGCCAGGCUGUCUCCACCCGAGACUCAGUGAAAUUGAACUCGCUGUGAAGAUGCAGUGUACCCGCGGCAAGACGGAAAGACCCCGUGAACCUUUACUAUAGCUUGACACUGAACAUUGAGCCUUGAUGUGUAGGAUAGGUGGGAGGCUUAGAAGUGUGGACGCCAGUCUGCAUGGAGCCGGCCUUGAAAUACCACCCUUUAAUGUUUGAUGUUCUAACGUGGACCCGUAAUCCGGGUUGCGGACAGUGUCUGGUGGGUAGUUUGACUGGGGCGGUCUCCUCCUAAAGAGUAACGGAGGAGCACGAAGGUUGGCUAAUCCUGGUCGGACAUCAGGAGGUUAGUGCAAUGGCAUAAGCCAGCUUGACUGCGAGCGUGACGGCGCGAGCAGGUGCGAAAGCAGGUCAUAGUGAUCCGGUGGUUCUGAAUGGAAGGGCCAUCGCUCAACGGAUAAAAGGUACUCCGGGGAUAACAGGCUGAUACCGCCCAAGAGUUCAUAUCGACGGCGGUGUUUGGCACCUCGAUGUCGGCUCAUCACAUCCUGGGGCUGAAGUAGGUCCCAAGGGUAUGGCUGUUCGCCAUUUAAAGUGGUACGCGAGCUGGGUUUAGAACGUCGUGAGACAGUUCGGUCCCUAUCUGCCGUGGGCGCUGGAGAACUGAGGGGGGCUGCUCCUAGUACGAGAGGACCGGAGUGGACGCAUCACUGGUGUUCGGGUUGUCAUGCCAAUGGCACUGCCCGGUAGCUAAAUGCGGAAGAGAUAAGUGCUGAAAGCA